rnacentral:lncRNA from 1 species
GUCGAUUGUUCUUGCUCGGCUCGACCGGAAGAACGGGGCGCUUUCCCCGUUAGGAAAGUGCGCAAAUGACUGAGCAAGAAAUAGGGAGAUGCGUUUUCUGGAGGAAAAUCCGGAAUCCAAGCUUGCCUUUUGCCGACAGGCGGAGGAAACUCCUGCCAUCGGCCAGGUGCCGCCCGCGCGUAACCACGCGUGUGACAGUGGCGAACCGGUUUCGGUCACCAACUGCUCGGGCGCACGAAGCCUGGAACAGAAACAGGAAAGGCAAGGGGGAAGCAAAGGGAUUUUCCAGACAUUGACUUCAACGGGAUGUGGGCAGAGGGCCAGCAGUGCGGCAAAGUUCGACGUGUCGUAUACUUCGCUCCACUGGUGUAUGUUUCGUUGCCUCAGGUUGGGCGGUUGCCACGGACGAAUGACGUGGAAAGGAGACGCUGGCCGAUUGCGUUUGAGCGGUAGGCGUCGUUUCGAGUAUAAAGCUGCGACGUGCAGAGACAGGCGUGUCUGUUAAGCCGCACGUCAGAAUGACGAGCGUAUUCUUCUAGUAUCCCUGUUCGCCUCCGAACUGCCUCGUCGUCUGUCCCAGUACGUUCUCUAUCGCUGUUUUGUUCAUUCUCACACGACAGAACGGCUCGCAAAAAGGCUGUCUCUCUCCUGCGCAACUAUGGCUGUAGGAACACAGACGGGUUUGUGAAAGACGCAGGGAUCGAGGCAACAGAGUGUUGCGUAAGGUGGGAGAGGGAAGCGCCAGAGAAGGCUGCAGCGCGUUCUACUUGCGCCGUCAAGUCGUCAGAGACACGCCAGUCGAUGGGGGAAGAAGACUCAGAGGAGUGGUGGAAAAAAAGUCGAGGAACCUGAGGACAAAGCUACGGGAAGCUGUCAAAACACUCAUGCUCGAGUGGGAAUCAUUCGAUUCUCUCGGCGGGUACACAGGAGAUCUUUUGAAUGCAAGUCCCGUCUCUACCUCCCGACAGGCACUUCCUGGUGUGCUCGGGUGUUGACAUGGUGAGGGAACUUGCCAACUAGCGAGGCCACAAGCGUCGUCUCGGUUACAAUUGACACGACUGGCGGAAAGUCUACGCAUCCAGAAUCGCUCUACCCUCGGCUGUGCGGCAGUCCGCGCGUGGAACUAUAGGUGUGAAGCAACGACUACUGCUCGGUCGCAGGUUCGUCUACGUGUGUUCUGCAAGGUCGUUGGGUUCGCGCCGCCCCGCCUUGUUCUUUUGCGAUUUCGCGGAAGACGUCGGACAAUCGUCUCCCAACGGCAUAGCCGCACAAGCGGAAUAAAAUACCGGAAGAGAGAAACACGGACAACGUAAUCAUAAUGAUGUUGCCACGAAGUGUUUUUUCGCUGCUAGAAUUUGUGGGGCCGCCUAUGACUCGACCCUCCGCUUUCUUGGCGCCGUUACCAAGAACGAAAAGCGUUUUCUCUUUCGAAAGACCCAUAGAAACGUCCCAACGUAGGCAAAAGGUUCUCCUUAGGAAUAGGAACUUCCUCUGUGCCUCAAUCUUGGCAUGAGUACCGCCUUUUUUUUCCUGUGAGAGAGUGGGGCGGAACUCAGCGUGGCACCUGUUUCUGACAGUCCUCUUCUGAACAUUUUAACGAGGCGCUUUGUGCGCAAAAAGGCCUCAUCGCCGCCAUGGACAACCCAAGGCAGAUCGAGU